UCUAAGUAAAAUGUAAACUGUGUCUUAAGAUUUCACUCAUUACCAAGGAGUUUUAAAACCUAUCUGCUUGAUUUGAUUUGGAAUAAUUUUAUUGACUAGAAUUUAAUAAUCUCAAAGAAACACGUUUUACAGUGUAAAACCUAAUUUAACCCAUUAUUUGUUGCUAGCAAUUGUUCUUUUUUUUUAACUAAUAGAUCUGGAUGAUUAAUGAGAUCACAGAUCUGACACACAUGCUUGCUUUUCCUACAUAAAGCUUUUUAAAGCAUUUCCUAAAAAAUUCCCAAAACACUCUUUUUCUCUUUUGCGCACAAGUUUCAAGAGUUCCUUCAGAGCUGCUCUGCAUCACAGUUAAAAAAAAAAAGAAAGAAAAAAGAAAAAGAAAACAUUGUGUAUAUUUUCAGUGACCUCUUUACUGGGACAAAGGAGGCUGCAGAUCGAUUCGUUACACCUUUUUAGCGAGGCUUCUGGUGAAGGGGAGGGGCUCUGGAGCCACUGGAGACUCCAUUAAUAGCCUCCUCUCCGUCCAAACUAUUAUCUACCAUAAAGUGUUUAUAAAGAGCCCCCAACUUGAGCCUUAAUAUGUUGUUUCAAAUGAGGCGACGUGACGGUGGUUAAGAGGGAGAAAAAAAAGUAGAGGGGAGAUCAGAUUAUUUUCUCUUUAAAUAAUCACUUGGAUGGCAUGAAAUCUAGCGCUGUGCGCAUCACGCGUCGGACUUUCUUUUUUUUAAUUAUUAUAAUUUUUUUCAUUCCUCCAGCUUCACGGAUUCCAAUCUUACAGAAACGGAGUCAAAACUUUCUCCAGUUCUAAUUCUGCUCUGACACAUUCAUGCAAAGGAGAAGACACUGCAGAGAAGUCCUGCAUGCAGGAUGUCGAAUCAGGUUGUCUUAAAGAAACAAGGACGGAUGCAGGACAGUUCAGUUGAUUGUCGAAGGAAUUGGCCUGACUCGACUAUAAUCAAUACGUUUUAACAAAAUGGAGCUACGAUCCAGCUGUGCUGCUUCCAUCUCCCAAACAUUACUCUGUCUGAUCUUGGAAAGCUAUUAUCUCUCCGACAAAAGACGGAUCUCAGAAACAGAAUGACUCUGUCUUCGAUCUGACUCGGAGUGGAAAGUCUUUACGAGACAAUUUUUGUUGGACGCCAGAAAAGCUCGUGAAAUAUUUGCCUUUAACGAGACAUUUCCUCCUGCCAGAUAUCACCCUGAUCAAUGACGCUUCUGUUCCAAGAGAAACGACAAUACCUGGAGCCCCGGUAAAAACCCUGCGUCACCCCAUCCCUCACUGACACCACAUCCAGGACUUAGCUCGGUUUAAUCCGAGCACCCCUGUCGUCUACCAACAGGAGCUACAGCUGCUGGCAGCAGAUCCUCCUGAAUCGCUGCUGAAGACGACGGUCUGGUUCUGCUGGUUCCUUCCUGUUGAAAGAUAACUUUCCCUUUUUCACAGAUUAAAAUAAUUGACUGUCAUGAUGAAAUGAAAUCUGACGUCAGAAAAAAUCGGAUUCAGUGUAUCGCGAUUCGGAUGGGUUCAGCUUUUCUGAAUUAAAAGCUCACUUGGAUGGCUUUAUGUAGUUGAGGCCCUGCCCUCUAUAAAUAUAUAUAUGUAUAUAAAACUUGUUAAAAUGCUCAAAUCUGUACCAAAAGAUUUUGUAGUAUUACGUCUUAUAUUUUAAUUACUUAUUUGACUUUAAUAUAUGUUACCUGAUUAUUUUCUAAUAAAACGCAUUUUCUGUGUA